GAAAUGCGAUCAGUAGUGUGAAUUGCAGAAUUCAGUGAAUCAUCGAAUCUUUGAACGCACAUUGCGCCCCUUGGUAUUCCAUGGGGCAUGCCUGUUCGAGCGUCAUUUGUACCCUCAAGCUCUGCUUGGUGUUGGGUGUUUGUCCCGUCUCCGCGCGUGGACUCGCCCCAAAGUGAUUGGCAGCCGGCGUACUGGUCCCGGAGCGCAGCACAUGUCGCGCAAACGAGUGCCUUGGUACGGCGGCGUCCAUAAGCCCCUCUCUCACGCUCUUGACCUCGGAUCAGGUAGGGAUACCCGCUGAACUUAAGC
rnacentral:misc_RNA from 1 species